rnacentral:rRNA from 1 species
CCGGCGCACGGGUGGGUAACACGUAUGCAAUCCACCUGUAACAGGGGGAUAACCCGGAGAAAUCCGGACUAAUACCCCAUAAUAUGGGCGCUCCGCAUGGAGAGCCCAUUAAAGAGAGCAAUUUUGGUUACAGACGAGCAUGCGCUCCAUUAGCCAGUUGGCGGGGUAACGGCCCACCAAAGCGACGAUGGAUAGGGGUUCUGAGAGGAAGGUCCCCCACAUUGGAACUGAGACACGGUCCAA